AUUUGUAGGAAUAGUGCUUAUAAUAGUUAUAUCUUCAGAGUAAUAAAACAGGUUUAUAAAAUAAAGUUACCUGCUGUCUAUUUUUUUGUUGGUGAUAAGAGUUGUUAAGGAUUUGCUGGUCUUUUUAUGUGUUUCUUAUUUGCGACUAGUGCUUCUCACAAAAUACCUGCUACUGUGCAAAUGCAAUUAAGAUAAGUGGGUUUGAAACAGUUCCUUCUUCUGGAUAGAAAGCAGUAGCAGGGACCAAUGUCAGUAUGUAAACACAGAACACAGGGCAGUCUUUGAAUUUCCAAACACAGAAAUGAAUAAAUCUUCACGCUGUAAACCAAUUCUGUAGAAGAAAGAUUUCAUGGUGUCAUUGGGCUCAGAAGAAAUAGUUACCUCUUUUCUCUGUCUUGAAGUCUCAACAGCUGGUAGAUUUACUUUGACUUUCACCAAUAUGCCUCUUUCAAAUAAAUAUCACUUUCCCAGGGUACCAAAUGGGUGUUGGGCAAACACAGACACAAAGCAAAAGCCAAAACUCAUAAACAAACAGUAUUUGCAUGUUUCAGAAAUGCUAUAUGUUUUAAAAGUGUGUGAUAACAUAAAUAUUUUGCAGUGAUUUCAUGGUAUUGAAAGCUUCUAAAAGAAACUGGGGAAACUUCAAAAUACUUCCUCUGGAUACAACUUUAUUCCUGAAGCAACUUACUACUUCUCAACAAGAAAUUCAUCUAUUGAACUGUUCUGCUGUUUGUUCCCAGACCAGUAAGUAGCAGCUGGACAUAAUGUGGGCCCUUCUCAUGCUGAAAAACACACCUGCUUUCACGCAGCCAGGGAGGCAGCAUUAAUACUCUACUGCAGCCAGAAACAUACAUAUGAGCUACCAAUUAGGAAACCUUUCAAAGUGUGGCUUUGCAGCCCAUCUGUGAUCUGCAGACCUCAGCUUGGGAACCAUUAUUCUCCACUAACAGCACCUGGGGAGCAAGAGGGAUGGAAAACUGUGGGGCUUGGGAGAGCAAAGUCUAUUAAAUACUAUGGCAACAGCCUCCAAGAACAACUAGAGUCAGUAUGAGGAUGAGAUUGCAAAUCACUUUGUCAGUUCAACAUUUUCCCCCAACAUUCUUCCCUGAGAACCUCUGAAAGAGUUGGGUCUGGGAGACACUACUUCACAAGUCAUUCCAAACCAAAUUAGUGAAAACCAAGUAAAAGGUCUCAAAAUCUGGAAAGCAUUUAUCUUAUCUGUGGAACAAUUGGAAGGAUUUUCCAGGAGAAACUGUUUUACCCGUAUUCAAAAUGUUACUUAUACCAGACAAUGAACAACGAUUGGAAUGCGGUAGAGAAAAUUGGUUGUAAGGAAUAGCAUAGCUGUCCUGCAGAAAAGAAGCCUGAAAAUACCAUCAGCCUCUGCUGCAAACACCAGCAUCUGUCAUCAGCCAGAACAAAAGCAAGUGCUUCAUUUGUACUGUGAGAGGGAUUUGUAGCCUCCCAUGCUGCAGCUGUCCCUGCUUGAGAACUGUAAAAAGAACAGGGAAGCAGACGGUUACAGAGACAAGAAGCACCAGACAGGUCAAACCAGUCUUGCAUGCACGGCCCCAAGAGAAGCUAUUGGAGAGGGCCUUAUGGCCAAACAGAAACAGAGUUUCUCCUGAUGUCCGCUGAAGAGCAUCUCUACAGGGGAUCACUGUGCAGUUUGAGCUUCUGCCUGGGAGUGAGUGAUCACAGCUGACAUCCUUCUGACCUGGGGCCCUCCUGAGGAAUAAGGCUGAGGUAUUUCAGAUGCACUUUGGAUGGA